rnacentral:precursor_RNA from 1 species
CUACAAUCAGACAUGCUGUGGGAAGUGCCCUACUUGGAAAGGCAUCAGUUGCUUAGAUUACAUGUAACUAUUCCCUUUCUGAGUAGAGUAAGUCUUACCAAGUACAAGUUCAUGGUG